rnacentral:rRNA from 1 species
GAUGAACGCUGGCGGCGUGCCUAAUACAUGCAAGUCGAGCGAACAGACGAGGAGCUUGCUCCUCUGACGUUAGCGGCGGACGGGUGAGUAACACGUGGAUAACCUACCUAUAAGACUGGGAUAACUUCGGGAAACCGGAGCUAAUACCGGAUAAUAUAUUGAACCGCAUGGUUCAAUAGUGAAAGACGGUUUUGCUGUCACUUAUAGAUGGAUCCGCGCCGCAUUAGCUAGUUGGUAAGGUAACGGCUUACCAAGGCAACGAUGCGUAGCCGACCUGAGAGGGUGAUCGGACACACUGGAACUGAGACACGGUCCAGACUCCUACGGGAGGCAGCAGUAGGGAAUCUUCCGCAAUGGGCGAAAGCCUGACGGAGCAACGCCGCGUGAAUGAUGAAGGUCUUCGGAUCGUAAAACUCUGUUAUUAGGGAAGAACAAAUGUGUAAGUAACUAUGCACGUCUUGACGGUACCUAAUCAGAAAGCCACGGCUAACUACGUG